rnacentral:rRNA from 1 species
GACGAACGCUGGCGGCGUGCUUAACACAUGCAAGUCGAACGGAAAGGCCCUGCUUUUGUGGGGUGCUCGAGUGGCGAACGGGUGAGUAACACGUGAGUAACCUGCCCUUGACUUUGGGAUAACUUCAGGAAACUGGGGCUAAUACCGGAUAGGAGCUCCUGCUGCAUGGUGGGGGUUGGAAAGUUUCGGCGGUUGGGGAUGGACUCGCGGCUUAUCAGCUUGUUGGUGGGGUAGUGGCUUACCAAGGUUUUGACGGGUAGCCGGCCUGAGAGGGUGGACGGGCUCCAGAGGCCUACGAUACGCCGCAGACUCGUAUGUGGGGCAACAGUGGGGAAUAUUGCACAAUGGGCGGGAGCCUGAUGAAGCGACGCUGCGUGCGGAAUGACGGCUUUCGGGUUGAAAACAGCUGUAGCCUGUGACGAAGCGUGAGUGACGGUAAUGAGUAAAGAAGCACCGGCUAACUACGUG